rnacentral:rRNA from 1 species
AUUGAACGCUGGCGGCAUGCUUUACACAUGCAAGUCGAACGGCAGCGCGGGCUUCGGCCUGGCGGCGAGUGGCGAACGGGUGAGUAAUACAUCGGAACGUGCCCAGUAGUGGGGGAUAGCUCGGCGAAAGCCGGAUUAAUACCGCAUACGACCUGAGGGUGAAAGCGGGGGAUCUUCGGACCUCGCGCUAUUGGGGCGGCCGAUGGCAGAUUAGCUAGUUGGUGGGGUAAAGGCCUACCAAGGCGACGAUCUGUAGCUGGUCUGAGAGGACGACCAGCCACACUGGGACUGAGACACGGCCCAGACUCCUACGGGAGGCAGCAGUGGGGAAUUUUGGACAAUGGGCGAAAGCCUGAUCCAGCAAUGCCGCGUGUGUGAUGAAGGCCUUCGGGUUGUAAAGCACUUUUGGCGGGAACGAAAAGGACUGCGCCAAUACCACGGUUCGAUGACGGUACCCGCAGAAUAAGCACCGGCUAACUACGUG